ensembl:snoRNA U8 U8 small nucleolar RNA
UUGUCAGGUGGGAUAAUCCUUACCUGUUCCUCCUAUUGGAGGGCAGAUAAAAAAUGAUGAUUGGAGUUCACAUGAUGUGUGAUUAGCAUCUCUGUGUAUUCAGGACUUGCUACAACCUGAUUAUUCCUAUCUGAU